GAUGAACGCUAGCGGCAGGCCUAACACAUGCAAGUCGAGGGGUAACAGGUUUAGUUUACUAAAUGCUGACGACCGGCGCACGGGUGCGUAACGCGUAUGCAACCUACCUAUAACAAGGGGAUAGCUUAGAGAAAUUUGAAUUAAUACCCUAUGAUGUAAUUGACUGGCAUCGGUUAAUUAUUAAAGAUUUAUUUUGGUUAUAGAUGGGCAUGCGUAGCAUUAGCUAGAUGGUGAGGUAAAGGCUCACCAUGGCGACGAUGCUUAGGGGUUCUGAGAGGAAGGUCCCCCACACUGGUACUGAGACACGGACCAGACUCCUACGGGAGGCAGCAGUGAGGAAUAUUGGUCAAUGGACGGAAGUCUGAACCAGCCAUGCCGCGUGUAGGAAGACUGCCCUAUGGGUUGUAAACUACUUUUAUAUAGGAAGAAAGUUUGUCUUGCGAGAUAAUUUGACGGUACUAUAUGAAUAAGCACCGGCUAACUCCGUGCCAGCCGCCGCCGUAACAC
rnacentral:rRNA from 1 species